rnacentral:rRNA from 1 species
AGGGGCAGCAUGGUCUUAGCUUGCUAAGGCCGAUGGCGACCGGCGCACGGGUGAGUAACACGUAUCCAACCUGCCGUCUACUCUUGGACAGCCUUCUGAAAGGAAGAUUAAUACAAGAUGGCAUCAUGAGUCCGCAUGUUCACAUGAUUAAAGGUAUUCCGGUAGACGAUGGGGAUGCGUUCCAUUAGAUAGUAGGCGGGGUAACGGCCCACCUAGUCUUCGAUGGAUAGGGGUUCUGAGAGGAAGGUCCCCCACAUUGGAACUGAGGCACGGUCCAAACUCCUACGGGAGGCAGCAGUGAGGAAUAUUGGUCAAUGGGCGAGAGCCUGAACCAGCCAAGUAGCGUGAAGGAUGACUGCCCUAUGGGUUGUAAACUUCUUUUAUAAAGGAAUAAAGUCGGGUAUGGAUACCCGUUUGCAUGUACUUUAUGAAUAAGGAUCGGCUAACUCCGUGCCAGCAGCCGCGGUAAUACGGAGGAUCCGAGCGUUAUCCGGAUUUAUUGGGUUUAAAGGGAGCGUAGAUGGAUGUUUAAGUCAGUUGUGAAAGUUUGCGGCUCAACCGUAAAAUUGCAGUUGAUACUGGAUAUCUUGAGUGCAGUUGAGGCAGGCGGAAUUCGUGGUGUAGCGGUGAAAUGCUUAGAUAUCACGAAGACUCCGAUUGCGAAGGCAGCCUGCUAAGCUGCAACUGACAUUGAG